rnacentral:rRNA from 1 species
GUAUUGAAGGUGAUGCCUGCCCGGUGACCUGAGGUUUAACGGCCGCGGUAUCCUAACCGUGCAAAGGUAGCGCAAUCAAUUGUCCCGUAAAUCGGGACUAGUAUGAAUGGCUAAACGAGGUCUUAACUGUCUCUUACAGGCAAUCGGUGAAAUUGAUCUCCCUGUACAAAAGCAGGGAUAAACACAUAAGACGAGAAGACCCUGUGGAACUUUAAAAACAGCAGCCACCCCUAACUAAACAUAACCCCCCACCUCGGGCGCACUACAACAAAGGGUCCUUGGCUCGCAUUUUUUCGGUUGGGGCGACCUUGGAGCAAAACAAAACCUCCAAAUCUUGGACCAUAAAUCUAGACUAAGAGCAACCCCUCAAAGUGCUAAAAGCAACCAGAUCCAAUACAAUUGAUCAAUGGACCAAGCUACCCCAGGGAUAACAGCGCGAUCUCCCCCAAGAGUCCAUAUCGACGGGGAGGUUUACGACCUCGAUGUUGGAUCAGGACAUCCUAGUGGUGCAGCCGCUACUAAGGGUUC